rnacentral:lncRNA from 1 species
ACCAGCCCCGUUAAAGCCGUUUUUAAGUCAGUGUCAAAGCUAAACCAGAACUAGCUAUCUAAUGAUGUGAGCAUGUGAAUGAUACAUAAUAUCUUUCUCACAGCAUCCUGAAGGAUACCAGUUUAGAAUUUCACAUAGUGAUAUCAGUCUACAAAGCAAACUGGUUUUUAUCUGUGUUCCCUUGUAGUCUUUGCCUGUGAUGAAUAUGUAGCAUGUUUGGUGAGGUGGGGGUAUGUCUUGGUUGAAAUGUCCCAAUCAUUUGUAUAGGUCAAUAACUUUUUGUUUGUUUUGUUUUUUGAGAACUAGCUUUGUAGACCAAGCUGGCCUUGAACUGCUGGGAUUAAAGGCAUAUGCUAUCACACCCAGCCAGUCAGUAAAUUUUGAAGACUGGAGUCUAAAUUUAUGUAACCAGCUCCUAGAUGAAGAAAUAGAACAUUACCAAGACCUAAGUGCCCCAGAAAGUCCCUUCCAUUGACAGCUGGUCACCCCCAGCCCACAGCGCCCACUCUCCUCAUUUGUAGCAUCACAGUUCCUAUUACUUGGCUCCCGCUUCUGCAGCGUCUCUGCCUAUUUGCUCACUCCGACAGUAUAUACUAUCUUCUGAAUUAGCUCAGCACCACUUUGAAAGAGCAGCUAGCUAACUACAAUUCAAUACUGCCUGCACCAAGCUGCUUGAUUAUAUUAUUUGCCCCAUAAUUCUCAUGUUUCUCUCUAUCUGUAGAUAACCCAGUCACAACCUUCGCCUGUACUCUCCACCUUAAUUUUGUAAGUCUCACUGCCAGCCGUUGACUGUUAUACAUUGAUCUUUAAUGAGUGAGGCUCAUGGUUGCUCAUGGUACUACCAGUCCUCCCUCUCCGUCCUUAGAUGACCCUUUGAUUCUUUUCAUGCUUAAUUUCUAGCUACUUAAAUAUAAGAAAACCACAAAAACCACACACACACACAUACACAUCCCACAAUUCCACUGGACACUUCAAGUAUAUUAAAUCAUUACACUUACAAAUGAGACAAUUGCCAAAUAUAUAUAUUUGAAGUCUAAAAAUACCUGUUUUGAGUAGAGUUCAUUUGUUUAAUAAAUAAUUCUCGCUUUCAUGGAAAUCACUGUUUAUCAUAUUUCAGAUUAUUUUGCAUCCAAAAAGACUACAGAGAACAGAACUAAAUUAUAUUCUUCUUACUUUUGCUUCAAAUGACUUCAUUCUUUGUAACAAGCGUGAUAGCUUAUAUUUAAAUGAUUGUCUCCAAAUUCCUAUGUAUGUCCAUUACUACACAUAAUUCAAGUUAUAUAUAAUUGCAUGUAUGUAAUUAUAUGUGUAAAUAUGUCAUACAUGUAUAUAUAUAUGUAUAAUUUUAAUCUCAUCACAAAUAAAUAAGCUCAAAAAGGUUCUAUUAUUUUUAGUUAACACAUACAUAAGCAUUGCUAGAUCAUCUUUCCAAAAUUUCACAGUUGUCAAGAAGUGGAGAACUGUUUAAGCAAUGAAUGUUCUCGAGUCUAACUUGUGUGACAGUCUCUGUAUUGCCACACCCACAGCAGUCGUUUUCCCUCUAGCUGUUUGCUUGGGAUAGCUUUCCUGUCAGUCAGAAGACAGGUCACUUAAGAACUGCCAUACAGUGAGGACCAUUAUAAACUACAGGCCAGUUACUUUCUGGAGGCCCUUAGAACUAUGAUAAACCUUCCCAGGGAAAACAGUGUCUUGAUUAAGAUUACAUUUAUGAACACUCUAAUUUGCCUGUUUUCCCCUUUGUUAGCAUGUAUUAUUUUUGUUUUUUUAAGUUAUCACUUAAAUACUCAACUUUUGUGUCUGGCUUAUUUCGCUCAGUAUGCCCUCCAGUUCCGUCUGCUUUCCAGAAGAUGACAGGAUUUCAUUCUUGUUGGCCUGUGGUUUUCAGUUGUCCCCUUUACUCUGCAGGCUUUCUUCUCAGCAUUCAUCUGCCAGAAAGUUCUUUCCUUGGUUUGCGGAGUCCUUUCCUCUGGAUUUCCUGCUUGUUUUCCGUGAUGUGUGCUUUUGUUCCCUGCAUCCGCUAUAAAUUGUUAGCUGGAGCUGAAGAGUUAAUCAAAUUCAGGCUGUCUUUUUGGCUGGGUUUUGCCAAGAUACCUUGUUAACUGGGUUCUGUCAGUCCUUCUGUUCAGAAGGCGCAUAGUAUCUGAUUGUCCCUUCUGUGUGGCUAGCAAUUACUGGUAUGCAUAGGAUUGUAUAGUAGUGAUGAUUGCAAAUAGAAGGAUUUUUUAUAUACUCUAAAAAUUAAUCUGUUGCCAGUUAUGUGUGUUGUAGGUUCUUUGGUUUGUGUUUGUGUUGUUUUGUUAUCGUGUCUUUAUCUAAACAUGUUUAUAUAAAGAGCGUGGGGUUAUCAACCACUUAACCCCAACUAAAACACAGUUUAAGCUUUAUUUCAUGGUUAUAGCUCAAUUCUAAUUUUUCUCAGUAAUGAGUUAUACUUCUUUAGAAAGUUAUGUUUGAUCGAAGUUUUUGUAUAUAUUUUAAAUCGGUUUUAUCUUAAUACUUGAGGCAUACUUAGUUCAAUCCUGAAUUUUCAGUUCUGGGGAACUAAACCCUCACAAAAGCUAGAUAAAAGCUUUGCCACUGAGCUUAGAUGUUGGUGAUGUGUACCUAAUUUACACGUGACCUUCACUGUUAAAUACCGAUCAUUUUCACCAGAGAUUGUUGGAUUUAUUGGUCUUU